AUGAUCUGGAAAGUAAUCUUUCAUAUUUUGCUAAAGAACUUACAGUUGCUGUUUAUUUUGGUAAUGCUUUAGACAAAAUAGGCUUUUGUACAAAGUUUGAUAGCUAAUCAAUUUUAGCUUUGAGAUUCUCAGUGGAACUCAAAUUCAGUAUUAACAUUAGGAGACAAAAUAGACUACACAGUUUUUUUUUUUUUAAAUUUUGGAUAGUGUGCUGUCAAAUGCUUAUUGGGUUAAUAAAUACAUUAUAAAUCUUUUCAGCCAUAGAGUGUUCUGUCGCCAAACUGUUCUGUAUUGAGUCAGCAAUUAUAUAUAUAUCUUAGUCUAGUCUACUGUUGUAUCUCUACUGAUAACCCCUUGAAGCUUAAUCUUCAUCUUAAUUGGUUUGGAGAAUGGAACUUUUAUUUAAAAUCCCAAGCUUGUGAUUUCCUCCUGGCUAGAAUGAAUAGACCACUAUUCACCACAGUAGAAAUAGCUAGAUCUUUAACUUUCCUUGAGUUGCAGGCUAAAUAUGAUAUUGUUCAGAUGUAAUGUAGAAUAUAGGGGAGACCAGAAAUUUUUGCUAGUGAAAGAAACAGGUUUCAAGAAAUUUGCAUGAGAUCUCAGCCUGCUCAUUUUAAUGACCGCAUACACUGUCCUGAAAGAGAAACUAAUUCUUUUAAGUUCAAAACUAGGAUUUCACUUCAGGAGAUGUGUUUAGUAGAUGCAUUAAGGUUAGGUAGCUGUGUUACAGAACUCAAAGUACAACUAAAAGGAUGAGGAAUUAGCAUAGUUAAACAUGGUAUAAUUGGAAAUUUAUGGUGUUUUAAAAUACAUUGUUUUCCUCCAGAGAACCUCACUCUACUCUGGUCUAGACUGGGCCCAAAACUCCAAAGUAAAUCCAGUCUCCCAGAUUCUGGGAUUAGCCAUGAAGCACCAUGCCCAGCUUACUAAAGUAGUAUUAAAAGGUUAAAGCCAGCUAGAUAAAUGCAAAUGUGGGUUUACUUUGAAUGCUUUGGAAACGGGACCAAGAAUGGCCUGUUUAUAGUAGUUCAGUUGUAGAUUGAAAUGAGCAAAGUGUUCUUUGCCUCACUGUAGGCUUAUGUUUGAACACUAGUGAGCACAGCGUAGGUUUUAAAGCUUAGGAAAUAGGGCUGUACCCAUACUGACAGUUGAUACCACUUUGGAACUACAAAUACUUUGAUUUCUACUCCCCGCCCCCCUCUGUUCCCUUAGGAUAUUGUAGGGAAACCUAUGAUUAGUUUUUCUAACCACGAAAGCACUUAAAUCUCUUUAAGCAAGUACUUUCAUAACUUCUGAUUGAAUAACCCAACUUGCUGUUCAGCUCAUCCUACUGGAGACAAAGGUAAGACACAUUUUCUGAUACCUAGUUUGGGAUCUGGAUUUUAAGAACUAAAGUUGUGAUGAAUAAUUGCUCCUGACUUGCAAUGUUCCUCUCUUCCUCCCAGCUUUAUAUUUUUAAUAGUUUUGAGUGUAUAAAUCUACUCAUCUCAAUUCUGGAGUUGAAUAUGAUAAAUUCCAAGAUCUGUCUAUGAGCCAUGCUUUUGUAGGGGUGGUGCUAUUUUCAGCAUUCUGAGGUCAAGGUCAACUUUUGGUGUUUGCCUUUUUGCUUUGUAUAUGAAAUUUGUAGUGAAAUUACAAAUGAAAUAAAUUAUAUGUAUUUAAAUAGUAUUAAAAGGAGAGAAAGUAUUAGACUGAGUUCUGUUAUAACAACAACCACUUGUAGCUUAUUUCCAUCAUAAUUUGAUGAUAGAUUGAUAACCCACAAUACUGGAAUACCACAGAUUGUUUUUAUUGAGCAAAAUGAAUGUAAAAUCUGGCCAGAGUAGAUGCCUUUAUUGUGUAAUUUGUGUAAAAGUCACAUAGGCAUUGUUGAAGGUGUUUUAUAUAUAUGAAGUAUAUGUGAUAAGAUCUUCAUGUAAAGUCUGAACAACCAUGGAUCCCAAAUAUAUAUCUAGUUUGGGUGAGCAAGGAGUUGUAGAAUUGUACUAGUACUGCAGAGGAUUAAUGUUACUAUAUGUAAUUUUGGGAGUGAAUAAAAAGCUGUUAAUUUGGAACCUUU
rnacentral:lncRNA from 1 species